UACGUAGGGGGCAAGCGUUGUCCGGAUUUAUUGGGCGUAAAGAGCGUGUAGGCGGCCAAGCAGGUCCGCUGUGAAAACUCGAGGCUCAACCUCGAGACGUCGGUGGAAACCGUUUGGCUAGAGUCCGGAAGAGGAGAGUGGAAUUCCCGGUGUAGCGGUGAAAUGCGCAAAUAUCAGGAGGAACACCGGUGGCGAAGGCGGGUCUCUGGGCCGAUAUUGACGCUGAGGAGCGAAAGCGUGGGGAGCGAACAGG
rnacentral:rRNA from 1 species